rnacentral:rRNA from 1 species
UACGUAGGGUCCAAGCGUUAUCCGGAAUUACUGGGCGUAAAGCGUGCGCAGGCGGUGAUGUAAGACAGGUGUGAAAUCCCCGGGCUUAACCUGGGAACUGCAUUUGUGACUGCAUCGCUGGAGUGCGGCAGAGGGGGAUGGAAUUCCGCGUGUAGCAGUGAAAUGCGUAGAUAUGCGGAGGAACACCGAUGGCGAAGGCAGCCCCCUGGGCUAACACUGACGCUCAGGCACGAAAGCGUGGGGAGCAAACAGG